UACAGAGGGGGCAAGCGUUAUUCGGAAUUAUUGGGCGUAAAGGGCGCGUAGGCGGCCUGGCGAGUGGAAGGUGAAAUCCCUCGGCUUAACCGAGGAACUGCCUUCCAAACUGCUUGGCUUGAGUCCGGGAGAGGUGAGUGGAAUUCCCAGUGUAGCGGUGAAAUGCGUAGAUAUUGGGAGGAACACCAGUGGCGAAGGCGGCUCACUGGACCGGAACUGACGCUGAUGCGCGAAAGCGUGGGGAGCAAACGGG
rnacentral:rRNA from 1 species